rnacentral:rRNA from 1 species
UGGGGAAUAUUGGACAAUGGGCGAAAGCCUGAUCCAGCAAUGCCGCGUGAGUGAUGAAGGCCUUAGGGUUGUAAAGCUCUUUUACCAGGGAUGAUAAUGACAGUACCUGGAGAAUAAGCUCCGGCUAACUCCGUGCCAGCAGCCGCGGUAAUACGGAGGGAGCUAGCGUUGUUCGGAAUUACUGGGCGUAAAGCGUGCGUAGGCGGCGAUUCAAGUCAGAGGUGAAAGCCUGGAGCUCAACUCCAGAACUGCCUUUGAAACUAGAUCGCUAGAAUCUUGGAGAGGUCAGUGGAAUUCCGAGUGUAGAGGUGAAAUUCGUAGAUAUUCGGAAGAACACCAGUGGCGAAGGCGACUGACUGGACAAGUAUUGACGCUGAGGUACGAAAGCGUGGGGAGCAAACAGG